rnacentral:rRNA from 1 species
AGAGUUCGAUCCUGGCUCAGGAUGAAUGCUGGCGGCAUGCUUAACACAUGCAAGUCGAACGGGAAGUGGUGUUUCCAGUGGCGAAUGGGUGAGUAACACGUAAGAACCUUCCCUUGGGAAGGGAACAACAACUGGAAACGGUUGCUAAUACCCCGUAGGCUGAGGAGCAAAAGGAGAAAUCCGCCCAAGGAGGGGCUCGCGUCUGAUUAGCUAGUUGGUGAGGCAAUAGCUUACCAAGGCGAUGAUCAGUAGCUGGUCCGAAAGGAUGAUCAGCCACACUGGGACUGAGACACGGCCCAGACUCCUAUGGGAGGCAGCAGCGGGGAAUUUUCCGCAAUGGGCGAAAGCCUGAUGGAGCAAUGCUGCAUGGAGGUGGAAGGCCUACGGGUCGUCAACUUCUUUUCUCGGAGAAGAAACAAUGACGGUAUCUGAGGAAUAAGCAUCGGCUAACUCUGUGCCAGUAGCCGCGAUAAGACAGAGGAUGCAAGCGUUAUCUGGAAUGAUUGGGCGUAAAGCGUCUGUAGGUGGCUUUUCAAGUCCGCUGUCAAAUCCCAGGGCUCAACCCUGGACAGGCGGUGGAAACUACCAAGCUGGAGUACGGUAGGGGCAGAGGGAAUUUCCGGUGGAGCGGUGAAAUGCAUUGAGAUCGGAAAGAACACCAACGGCGAAAGCACUCUGCUGGGCCGACACUGACACUGAGAGACGAAAGCUAGGGGAGCAAAUGGGAUUAGAGACCCCAGUAGUCCUAGCCGUAAACGAUGGAUACUAGGUGCUGUGCGACUAGACCCGUGCAGUGUUGUAGCUAACACGUUAAGUAUCCCGCCUGGGGAGUACGUUCGCAAGAAUGAAACUCAAAGGAAUUGACGGGGGCCCACACAAGCGGUUGGAGCAUGUGGUUUAAUUCAAUGCAAAGCGAAGAACCUUACCAGGGCUUGACAUGCCACGAAUCCUCUUGAAAGAGAGGGGUGCCCUCAGGAACACGGACACAGUGGUGCAUGGCUGUCGUCAGUUCGUGCCGUAAGGUGUUGGGUUAAGUCUCGCAACGAGCACAACCCUCGUGUUUAGUUGCCACUAUGAGUUUGGAACCCUGAACAGACCACCGGUGUUAAGCCAGAGGAAGGAGAGGAUGAGGCCAAGUCAUCAUGCCCCUUAUGCCUUGGGCGACACACAUGCUACAAUGGGUGGGACAAAGGGUCGCGAUCUUGCGAGGGUGAGCUAACUCCAAAAACCGUCCUCAGAAAAAAUGAAAUUGGCUGAUAUCAUGACAAUAUUAGGUAGUAUAGAUAUCAUUAUGGGGGAAGUUGAUCGUUGAAAUGAUAAUAGAUAGGGUAGAGGUAGAAACUCUCAAUUCUUUUUCGAAAUCAGAAUUAUUAAAAGAAAUCUAUGGACUUAUAUGGAUUCUACCCAUUUU